rnacentral:tRNA from 1 species
UCGGGGAUCGUCUAAUGGUAGGACAACGGGUUUUGGUCCCGUCAAUCUGGGUUCAACUCCUAGUCCCCGAGCCA